rnacentral:rRNA from 1 species
UACGGGGGGAGCAAGCGUUGUUCGGAUUUACUGGGCGUAAAGGGCGCGUAGGCGGUCAGCACAAGUCAGUUGUGAAAUCUCCGGGCUUAACUCGGAAAGGUCAACUGAUACUGUGCGACUAGAGUGCGGAAGGGGCAACUGGAAUUCGUCGGUGUAGCGGUGAAAUGCGUAGAUAUCGAGAGGAACACCUGCGGCGAAGGCGGGUUGCUGGGCCGACACGUGACGCUGAUGCGCGAAAGCCAGGGGAGCGAAGCGGG